CGCGUAGGCGGUUUGCACAGUCAGGCGUGAAAUUCCCGGGCUUAACCUGGGGGCUGCGUUUGAUACUCGCAGACUAGAGGAUGGAAGAGGGUCGUGGAAUUCCCAGUGUAGAGGUGAAAUUCGUAGAUAUUGGGAAGAACACCGGUGGCGAAGGCGGUGACCUGGUCCAUUACUGACGCUGAGGCGCGACAGCGUGGGGAGCAAACA
rnacentral:rRNA from 1 species